CAGGGGAGGGGAGGGGAGGGGAGGGGAGGGGAGGGGAGAGGAGAGGAGAGGAGAGGAGAGGAGAGGAGAGGAGAGGAGAGGAGAGGAGAGGAGAGGAGAGGAGAGGAGAGGAGAGGAGAGGAGAGGAGAGAUCUUCCAUAGGCUGGUCCACGCCCCGGAGCUGCUCCCAGGCCCCCACCAGUUUCCGCAAUGGGCAGCUGUUCCCCGACAAGCCCUCGGGGAGAAUUUUCCUGCCAGGUUCCUGCCCAAGGAGGCUGGCCUAGGACCAAUCAGAGGCUGUGGAACUUUCUAGAAGCCCGGGGUGCCGCCCCUCCCAGCCGAGCCUCUGGCUGGAGGAGGCCCGUGGUGCUGGGCGUGGCUAACGGUCGGAGGCUUGGCCGUUGGCGGUUAUUUUCAGUCUGGCAGCGCUGGCUGGCGAGAGGCGAGCUCAGUGACUUCCCCGCUGCUGGGCGGGGAAUGUUGGCGCUGCUCCAAGGAUGCAAGAAGACCCCUAACGCCCGCGAUGGGGGCGGCCACUUACCGCACGCGGGCUCCUGAAGAUGCGCCCCCGUCUAUCUAUCGAUGGUCGCCACUGCCCCGCUGUCCGGGUUGGGGGCCGCACUCCUGCUCGGUGCGCUGCGGUGACCUCGCUGGUUUCUGGCUUGUGGAAGCUGAAGUCAGUUUUGGAGUGCAAGGCCCGGCGCCCCGGCCUCAGGGCCCCGCCGUGCACUGGCCCGCGGUGCGCAGGCCGGCUGUGGUGGAAGCCCGGGAGCGCAGGCCUGGAACUGGAAGCGGCCCCCGGCGGCGGCGGGAAGAGGACCUACCUAUUCUAGCGGGACCUUAGCAGGGCUGAGCGUUAGCUAUCUGGAAAAGGAUCUGCUUGUAGGACUGGCUCUUGGGCGCCUGCACGCACGCCCCGCCUCUUGUUCCCACCUCAGAAUAGCCCGUGCUCCACUGUGGGCGACAGCGAAGUCCAGGUUUCCAUGUCGUGGUUCCCUUGGAGGCCAAGGUUGCCGGCCCGCGCAUAAUAAAGAGGGCUGGCUGUGGACCCGGUGGGAGCUCUCGGAGCAGAGCGGAGCAGCCAGGAGAGCGAGCCGAGCCCUCCCUUCAUCGCUCUUCUUCCCCUUUGCGUCCCAGGGCGCACCCAAAGGCCCUCCCACUUACCAUCAACAUGGAAACUCAGCCCCUUCCCUCAGGGGUAGACCCCUCUUUUGUGCAUUAUCUUAUUCCUCCUAACUUCCCUUGUCUGGAGCAGGGGCUCAGAGAGCCUGGCCAGUCACCCAGGCCUCAGUGAAGCCCCCUCACAACUCAGUAUGAAGUGGAAAAGCUUAAUAAAGGCCCCGAGUCGCCUUGACUGCA